UACAGAGGUCUCAAGCGUUGUUCGGAUUCAUUGGGCGUAAAGGGUGUGUAGGUGGCGCCGUAAGUCGGGUGUGAAAUUUCGGAGCUUAACUCCGAAACUGCAUUCGAUACUGCCGGUGCUUGAGGACUGGAGAGGAGACUGGAAUUUACGGUGUAGCAGUGAAAUGCGUAGAGAUCGUAAGGAAGACCAGUGGCGAAGGCGGUCUCUGG
rnacentral:rRNA from 1 species